rnacentral:rRNA from 1 species
GACGUAGGGCGCGAGCGUUGUCCGGAUUUAUUGGGCGUAAAGAGCUCGUAGGCGGCUUGUUACGUCGUUCGUGAAAACUUGGGGCUCAACCCCAAGCUUGCGGUCGAUACGGGCAGGCUAGAGUUCGGUAGGGGAGACGUGGAAUUCCGAUGGUGGUAGCGGUGAAAUGCGCAGAGUAUCAGGAGGAACACCGGUGGCGAAGGCGGGUCUCUGGGGCCGAUACUGACGCUGAGGCGCGAAAGCGUGGGGAGCAAACAGG